rnacentral:lncRNA from 1 species
UCUGCCUAUAGAGGCCUGGGGUCCCUUUGGCAGCACUUUUCUCAAGAAAGUAGAGUCGUGGACAACCAACUGCACAGGUUGGGAGGCUUUGAAGAACAAGCUGCCAUGAAUCCUGCAGCUACAAGGAAAUGAACUCUAUUAACUUGAGUGAGCUUAAAACUAGAUCCUUCCCCAGUCAAGCCUCCAGGUGAGAAUUCAAUCCUGGCUGGCACCUGGAUUGCAGCUUACAGAAGACCCAGCUAAGGCCAUGUCUGGACUUUAAAUCCACAGGAACUGCAAGAUGGUAUCAGAAGUGGGACCUGCAGUGGGGCAUCUAGCAACCCCCAGGAGCAUUGAGUGACCAGGCUUGGGACCCACCGGGCGCAGGGUGUCCAUUGUUCUCUCGAAGCAACUGAGAAUUGUGGAUAUUCUUCAUUAUUCCAUCAUCAUCUCAAACCUCUUGGGUAUAGUGUUUGACUACUACUGUGACCAUAAAUUCCAAUAAAACCUAGGAAAAAUGAAACCACUACAUUAACUGAAAGGGUUUAUAUAUUCUGGAUACCAGGAUUAUAUUAUCAGAUCUACUACUUGAAAAUAUUAUCUCCUGUUUUGUGGGUUGUAUUUUCACUUUCUUUGUGGUAUGAUUUGGAGCACAAAGUUUUGAUUUUGACGAAGCCUCAUUUAUAUAU